rnacentral:lncRNA from 1 species
UUAGAACACCGGUUAUGCAAUGUUAUGCUAUGCAAUGCAUGAAAUGUUUUCAAGGCCUUUUGGAAUUUAACUUUGCAUAAACUACCGAAAAGGGAAACUUUUUUUUUUGUUUUUUUUUUUGUUUUUUUUUUUCAUACAAAACAGAGCAAAGUUAAAUCCCUAAGUCCUUGAAAUGGUUAGUACAAUGUUAUGAUGUCAUGAUGUUAUGAUGUUAUGAUGUUAUGAGGUUAAAUAAAUAACAAGCACAAGCAAGUCACACAACCAUCAUUCCUAGGUUUUAAGGCUUGCAUGAGUUCCAUAGGUAAGUACCCUCCCCACUGAAGUUUG